CCUACGGGAGGCUGCAGUGGGGAAUCUUGGACAAUGGGCGCAAGCCUGAUCCAGCCAUGCCGCGUGAGUGAUGAAGGCCUUAGGGUUGUAAAGCUCUUUCAGUGGGGAAGCGGUACCCACAGAAGAAGCCCCGGCUAACUUCGUGCCAGCAGCCGCGGUAAUACGAAGGGGGCUAGCGUUGCUCGGAAUCACUGGGCGUAAAGCGCACGUAGGCGGCUUACUAAGUCAGGGGUGAAAGCCUGGAGCUCAACUCCAGAACUGCCUUUGAUACUGGUGAGCUUGAGUUCGGGAGAGGUGAGUGGAACUGCGAGUGUAGAGGUGAAAUUCGUAGAUAUUCGCAAGAACACCAGUGGCGAAGGCGGCUCACUGGCCCGUCUGACGCUGAGGUGCGAAAGCGUGGGGAGCAAACAGGAUUAGAUACCCUUGUAGUC
rnacentral:rRNA from 1 species